rnacentral:rRNA from 1 species
AGUGAACGCUGGCGGUAGGCCUAACACAUGCAAGUCGAACGGCAGCACAGUAAGAGCUUGCUCUUACGGGUGGCGAGUGGCGGACGGGUGAGGAAUACAUCGGAAUCUACUUUUUCGUGGGGGAUAACGUAGGGAAACUUACGCUAAUACCGCAUACGACCUACGGGUGAAAGCAGGGGAUCUUCGGACCUUGCGCGAUUGAAUGAGCCGAUGUCGGAUUAGCUAGUUGGCGGGGUAAAGGCCCACCGAGGCGACGAUCCGUAGCUGGUCUGAGAGGAUGAUCAGCCACACUGGAGCUGAGACACGGUCCAGACUCCUACGGGAGGCAGCAGUGGGGAAUAUUGGACAAUGGGCGCAAGCCUGAUCCAGCCAUACCGCGUGGGUGAAGAAGGCCUUCGGGUUGUAAAGCCCUUUUGUUGGGAAAGAAAAGCAGCAGGUUAAUACCCCGCUGUUCUGACGGUACCCAAAGAAUAAGCACCGGCUAACUUCGUG